rnacentral:rRNA from 1 species
UUGUUGGUAAGGUAAAAGCUUACCAAGGCUUCGAUCAGUAGCUGGUCUGAGAGGACGACCAGCCACACUGGGACUGAGACACGGCCCAGACUCCUACGGGAGGCAGCAGUGGGGAAUUUUGGACAAUGGGGGCAACCCUGAUCCAGCCAUGCCGCGUGAGUGAAGAAGGCCUUCGGGUUGUAAAGCUCUUUCAGCCGGAACGAAACGGUUACGGUUAACACCCGUGACUACUGACGGUACCGGAAGAAGAAGCACCGGCUAACUACGUGCCAGCAGCCGCGGUAAUACGUAGGGUGCGAGCGUUAAUCGGAAUUACUGGGCGUAAAGCGUGCGCAGGUGGUUUUGUAAGUCAGAUGUGAAAGCCCCGGGCUCAACCUGGGAACUGCGUUUGAAACUACAAGACUAGAGUGUGGCGGAGGGGGGUGGAAUUCCGCGUGUAGCAGUGAAAUGCGUAGAGAUGUGGAGGAACACCGAUGGCGAAGGCAGCCCCCUGGGUCAACACUGACGCUCAGGCACGAAAGCAUGGGGAGCAAACAGGAUUAGAUACCCUGGUAGUCCAUGCCCUAAACGAUGUCAACUAGUUGUCGGGCCUUUACGGGCUUGGUAACGUAGCUAACGCGUGAAGUUGACCGCCUGGGGAGUACGAUCGCAAGAUUAAAACUCAAAUGAAUUGACGGGGACCCGCACAAGCGGUGGAUUAUGUGGAUUAAUUCGAUGCAACGCGAAAAACCUUACCUACCCUUGACAUGUAUCGAAGCCCGCAGAAAAGCGGGGGUGCCCGAAAGGGAACGAUAACACAGGUGCUGCAUGGCUGUCGUCAGCUCGUGUCGUGAGAUGUUGGGUUAAGUCCCGCAACGAGCGCAACCCUUGUCAUUAAUUGCCAUCAUUUAGUUGGGCACUUUAAUGAGACUGCCGG